GAAGCCCGAGGCGCGGGCCGGGCGUCGGAGCCUCGGCUCAGCUGUGCGCCCGCCGCCUGCCCUGGGCCGGGCCUCGCACAGGGAAAUGUUAAAUGUGAGGCUGUUAGUCAUCCAUGGGGUCAGCUCCCCACACACACCUUUGCCUCGUUUGGAAGUGAGGGGUAGCCACUGCCGCCUCCUGUCUGGGUGAAGUUAGGCCCAGGGCACGGGUAAAUGGAAGCUCAUGCCUGUUCUCAACUGAAAGGACCCUCAUUUUCUCCGAGAUGAAAGCUGAAGAAACUAAGAUAAACAUCAAGAUGUCUACAGCUUGCAAAUGGUUCAAGGGGAAAAAAGAAACAGCUCAUUCAUUCAUUCCAUCAGCUCCCACGUCAAAGGAAGAAUCAAUCUGCACAAACUGGGGGUUAAUUAUCAUUAAAAGGGAAGGAGGCUGAAGAUGAUGCUGAUGAUCCGGCAGAGCUGACCCUCCCCAGACUCCCCAAUCCUCCCAGCCUCUCAAGCCCGGUGGGGGGCCAGUGUCCCCAUAUCAGCCAGCUCCUCAGGCCACUGCUGGCACUUCUCACCCCACACC